UUUGCUUUGAGAUAGUGAAAGCUGUAUCUAAGUUUUCUAAGAGAAAUAUUGUGUAUACAUCAAGGUUCAAUAUAUCUGACUUUUAAUUGUUACAAAACAAUGUCAGUUUGAAAACGUGAUUAUUGAUUACUGCGCAAUAGCGUGGUUAUAAAGUUGCCAGAUGGUCAGAUUUAUUUUACAUGGACAUAUAUACUGUACAUGAUGAAAUAGUUUGUAAAGGAAUUUAUCGUUCCACAGUCUAAAUACGCGUAUGUUCUCAGGCGAGAUUGCAGAAUUUUAAAUCGUUAUGUAAACUUUGUGUAUAUCUUGGACGCUAAAAGUUCAUUGAAAGGUA